GACUCUCGGCAACGGAUAUCUAGGCUCUCGCAUCGAUGAAGGACGUAGCGAAAUGCGAUACUUGGUGUGAAUUGCAGAAUCCCGUGAAUCAUCGAGUUUUUGAACGCAAGUUGCGCCCGAAGCCAUUAGGCUGAGGGCACGUCUGCCUGGGCGUCA
rnacentral:rRNA from 1 species